rnacentral:rRNA from 1 species
UACGAAGGGGGCUAGCGUUGCUCGGAAUCACUGGGCGUAAAGCGCACGUAGGCGGAUCUUUAAGUCAGGGGUGAAAUCCUGGAGCUCAACUCCAGAACUGCCUUUGAUACUGGGGAUCUCGAGUCCGGGAGAGGUGAGUGGAACUCCGAGUGUAGAGGUGAAAUUCGUAGAUAUUCGGAAGAACACCAGUGGCGAAGGCGGCUCACUGGCCCGGUACUGACGCCGAGGUGCGAAAGCGUGGGGAGCAAACAGG